ACGUAGGGUGCGAGCGUUAAUCGGAAUUACUGGGCGUAAAGCGUGCGCAGGCGGUUCGCUAAGACAGGUGUGAAAUCCCCGGGCUUAACCUGGGAAUGGCGCUUGUGACUGGCGGGCUGGAGUACGGCAGAGGGAGGUGGAAUUCCACGUGUAGCAGUGAAAUGCGUAGAGAUGUGGAGGAACGCCGGUGGCGAAAGCGGCUCUUUGGCCCGUAACUGACGCUGAGGCGCGAAAGCCAGGGGAGCAAACG
rnacentral:rRNA from 1 species